AUUGAACGCUGGCGGCAGGCCUAACACAUGCAAGUCGAACGAGUGGCGGACGGGUGAGUAAUGUUUGGGAAACUGCCUGAUGGAGGGGGAUAACUACUGGAAACAGUAGCUAAUACCGCAUACCAUCGGAUGUGCCCAGAUGGGAUUAGCUAGUAGGUGGGGUAACGGCUCACCUAGGCGACGAUCCCUAGCUGGUCUGAGAGGAUGACAGGCCAACCUGGAACUGAGACACGGCCCAGACUCCUACGGGAGGCAGCAGUGGGGAAGAUGGCGCAAUGGGCGCAAGCCUGAUGCAGCCAUGCCGCGUGUAUGAAGAAGGCCUUCGGGUUGUAAAGUUCUUUCAGCGGGGAGGCGUUACCCGCAGAAGAAGCACCGGCUAACUCCGUGCCAGCCGCCGCGGUAAUAC
rnacentral:rRNA from 1 species